rnacentral:rRNA from 1 species
UACAGAGGUCUCAACCGUUGUUCGGAUUCAUUGGGCGUAAAGGGUGCGUAGGCGGUCGUGCAAGUCGGAUGUGAAAUCUCAGGGCUCAACCCUGAAACUGCAUUCGAUACUGCGCGGCUAGAGUGCUGGAGGGGAGACUGGAAUUCAUGGUGUAGCAGUGAAAUGCGUAGAUAUCUGGAGGAAUACCGGUGGCGAAGGCGGCAUCCUGGACCGACAUUGACGCUGAGGAGCGAAAGCUAGGGGAGCAAACGGG